CCCCAAAAAAUAAACGUCCCAGUUCGGAUUGCAGGCUGCAACCCGCCUGCAUGAAGCUGGAAUCGCUAGUAAUCGCGGAUCAGAAUGCCGCGGUGAAUACGUUCCCGGGUCUUGUACACACCGCCCGUCACACCAUGGGAGUCGGUAACGCCCGAAGUCAGUGACCCAACCGAAAGGAGGGAGCUGCCGAAGGCGGGACUGGUAACUGGGGUGAAGUCGUAACAAGGUAAC
rnacentral:rRNA from 1 species